ensembl:lncRNA
GAGGAGGGGCUUGCCACAGGAAGGGGAUGGCAGGUACGAUAACAAGGUUGGAAGGAGAAAGAGGUGUGGCUGGGAAGGAGAUCCACAUAACUGAAGACAAGAGUGAGAGUUGGAAGAAUUAAAGAGAUGUCAGAGACCAGAGGAUGUGAAUGUCUUCUUUCAUGUGAGUGUAAAAUUAGGUGGCGGUGACCAGACAAUAUCAGAAUGCCAAGGCCCCAGUUCUCUGGGCAAUUACAAAUGCUGACGCUGAAGGCCUGAUCUCAGAUAAUGAGAUACCACAUGUGUUAGGGAAGUUAUGAAACUCCUAUGUGGACCUGGAACAGAGACCAGUGAUACCACAAUUACCUUGGAAGAAAGAUUGAGAGUCCCAACAUAAAAGGGAUUCCAGCAAACUUUGAUUAAUGAAACAUCCAGCCUCUCAGGACAGGUAUAGAAGGCUAGAAAACUCCUCUUGGAAAACAACCCAGCAGAAGAGGACAGCAGAAAGCUUUUUCGGCCCUGGGGAUCUGACUCAAGAGGUGCACAGCCAAUACCCCUCACACUGAGGAGUAGAGAGAACCCACUCUCAGUUCCCCCGAGUUCCAGGAGCAGUGAAAUCACUAAAGAAGAAUAGAUGUGUCCAUCAAGAGGACAUUCAUACAAGACAAAAGAAGUCUGAGAGACCCAUGCAAUCAUACAUCUGAAGGUGGAGGUGCUGGACCUCUGGAGGAAGUGGAAGGAGAUGGCAAAACUGAGGCUGAGAGAAGUUAUACUUGACCAGAGUCACACAGCUAAUACAUGUUGAAACCAGGAUUUAAACACAGAUCUGUAUUGACCCAAAGCCCCGGUUUUCAGAAAAGCUCUGUGCCCAGAUACUCUGUUUGUCAUCUCUAGUUGUUGUGGAAUCUAGGAAAAGGCACAGAAAUGCCAUGUCAGAGCAAUUGCAUUUGGGAUUCAAUGUACUCUCAGCUGUGCACUGACGGCUUCCUCACCUACCGUUAUGAAGUCCUUUUGCUGGCAGUGAUUACAGAAGACGGUGACAUCGAAGAAGAGGCUCUGUCUGAAUUUGGGAGGCCUAAUAAAAAAAAAAAGGAAAUUGGAGAAAGAAACUUCUAUAGCAUUAAAAACUUGGAAAUGUUCUGGGGGUAUCAUCCACCCACCACUUUCAUUUUGCAGAUGGGAAAAUGGAUGAAGAGAGAACAUGUCCCCGCCUCCGAGAGGGAGAGGGAACAGCCCUAAAGAAUGAGACAGAGUCCUUGGCUUGUAGACUCAGACCAUUCCAAAAGAUCUAUAAGGUUGUUCGACUUCACUUGAACAGUAUUUGUUUUCUCUUUACUUCAGCAGUUCACUGCCAGGUGGAGUUGAGCAUGGGUGAUGCAAUGUAUAAGGGACCUGAAGCCUGAUCAUGUUGUAAUCAUGUCAUACACUAUGUCACUCUGGAUGGACCAAGCUUACCCAAGACAUACCUGCCUUGAUACUCACUCCAGAAGACAAGUCUGGUUGGUUGCGAGAUUUGAUGAGGGUUAGUAGGUAUCAUGUAGGGCUCCUGAUAUCUGAAAGUGAUUGACACUGCUCAUUCUCACAUUGUCAGUAAUUCGUAGUGUGUUCUGCAUCUAGCACAUUCAUGUUUAGAAAAACAAGGGAAACAAAUUUUUUCUUCUCCUUCAGAUUUCUUUAAUUUAAAUGUUUUGGGAAAAUAUUGGCUUUCUUCCUCAAUUCUUCAGCUGUUGUCUACCGCAAUGAAUCAGCUUCAAUUUCUCGAGUCACAUUAUUUCUUUUUUCUUUCCAAAAUAAUGGAAGAAUGUGAGUCCUCCCAGGCACAUCACACUAAGAAAUAUCAGGAACAAAAUGGACAAAAUGGUUUCUGUGAAGGAAUUAAUGGCUGAUAUUUAUAAUAUGCUUACGAUGUGUUAGGCACAUGGAUGUAUUUUAGGUUUUAACAUGAUGUUUGCCUCCUCAACUAUUCUGCUCUGUUUGGAAAUUCAUCAAGACUUUCAUAGUUGAGUUCUAUUCAUCCCAGAGAGGUUCGGUGUCCCUGGUCCAAUGCCAUUGUGUUUACCAUCACAGGGUUUAUAGCGUGAAAUUCUUUCCCAUGUCUUCCUUUGCAUUUGCAUCUUGAACUUACAAACUGAUCACAUUCCCUGAUAUUUAAGAUGGUCUUCUCCUUCAUUACAUGCAAUUAUUUCUCUCUGAAUUUUGCACCUUUUGAUAUUGAAAGCAUCUUUAUUAAACAGGCAGAUUUGAAAAAUUUUAAACAGACAUUGAAAAUAAUUUUUUAAAAUUCCUUUUUAAUUUCAUGAAGUGCUCUUUCACCUUUUAGCCAGUAGUUGUCAUCACCUAGACUAUUUUGGAGUACACAACAAAAAGUAGGCAGAUGUCAGAAAAUAAAAUGGUAACCCAAGUUUGAAGGUUAAUGUCUAGAAUGCAUUUUGAAAACAAGCAAGACACCCAAUACUCAAACUUGAAUUCUACUGAGCUACUUUUAUAACUUACAGAGCACCUUCAUUUCCUCUUAACUCAGCCUUAAAGCCUACUCCCCUCCCACCUGCUUAUACAGAGUUGACUACCACUGAGAUUCCUGCUGAGAUGUUUCUGUUUUGGGAUCUGACUUGCUGCUGAGCUUGUCAAUAGCUCAUCUCUUACUGGGUCUUGUGUCUUCCAUAUCAGCCCUACCCCUGAUAAUUCAUCAGCUUAUCUGCCCUCUGAUCCUCUGAAAGGAUCAAGGAAGGGGGAGAGGAAGAAAGGAAAGCCCCAGCUGAUGUCUAUGCUCAUCAAUCCUGGCAAGCCCUUCUCCCUAAACAUAAAAUCACUUACCACUAGUGUUUCCUAAAAUGAAUCUCAAGGUUAAUAGUUUUAUUUAUUUAUUUUGUAAGUUUUCCAAUCAAAUAAAUUUUGGGAACUGCUGACUUAAAAUUAAAUGAGUUUCUUUAUUGAAGACCUUCUCUAAGCUUUUAAUAUGUUAAAUUGCACUGUGAAUCUCUUAGAGGGCGAUGUAGAAUACAGUGUUUCCCAAACUCGUUUUACCGCAAAGCAUUUUUUUUUUCUGGGAGCAUAGUUUUGAGACUGUUUUAUGGAAUAUAACUUGUUAAAACUCAUUUUGAUUUUUCUCUUUUCUUUAGCUCAGUGUUUUCCAAACUUCAGUCAUUCAAUUAUCACCAUCAUAAUUUUUGCCAACAAUUUUCUUUAUAUCAACUCACUUUUUUACUUAAAUAAAUUUAUUUGAAAAGGAAAUGACUGUAAAUAUAAAAUAAGAAUUACUUGCCAUAAAUGGAAAAUAACAAUGAAAAUAAGUAGAAUGAAGUAAUAUUGUUAAU